rnacentral:rRNA from 1 species
UACGUAGGGUCCGAGCGUUGUCCGGAAUUAUUGGGCGUAAAGGGCUCGUAGGCGGUCUGUUGCGUCGGGAGUGAAAACUUACAGCUUAACUGUGAGCGUGCUUCCGAUACGGGCAGACUUGAGGUAUUCAGGGGAGAACGGAAUUCCUGGUGUAGCGGUGAAAUGCGUAGAUAUCGGGAGGAACACCAGUGGCGAAGGCGACUUCCUGGCCUGUUCUUGACGCUGAGGCGCGAAAGCUAGGGGAGCAAACGGG